GGGGAAUAUUGCACAAUGGAGGAAACUCUGAUGCAGCGACGCCGCGUGAGUGAAGAAGGUUUUCGGAUCGUAAAACUCUGUCCUUGGUGAAGAUAGUGACGGUAGCCAAGGAGGAAGCCCCGGCUAACUACGUGCCAGCAGCCGCGGUAAUACGUAGGGGGCGAGCGUUGUCCGGAUUUACUGGGCGUAAAGGGUGAGUAGGCGGUUAUGUAAGUCAGAUGUAAAAGGCAUAGGCUCAACUUAUGUAAGCAUUUGAAACUGCAUGACUUGAGUGCAGGAGAGGUAAGCGGAAUUCCUAGUGUAGCGGUGAAAUGCGUAGAUAUUAGGAGGAACACCAGUGGCGAAGGCGGCUUACUGGACUGUAACUGACGCUGAGACACGAAAGCGUGGGUAGCAAAC
rnacentral:rRNA from 1 species